CCUACGGGUGGCAGCAGUCGAGAAUCAUUCACAAUGGGGGAAACCCUGAUGGUGCGACGCCGCGUGGGGGAAUGAAGGUCUUCGGAUUGUAAACCCCUGUCAUGUGGGAGCAAAUUAAAAAGAUAGUACCACAAGAGGAAGAGACGGCUAACUCUGUGCCAGCAGCCGCGGUAAUACAGAGGUCUCAAGCGUUGUUCGGAAUCACUGGGCGUAAAGCGUGCGUAGGCUGUUUCGUAAGUCGUGUGUGAAAGGGGCGGGCUCAACCCGCGGACGGCACAUGAUACUGCGAGACUAGAGUAAUGGAGGGGGAACCGGAAUUCUCGGGGUAGCAGUGAAAUGCGUAGAUAUCGAGAGGAACACUCGUGGCGAAGGCGGGUUCCUGGACAUUAACUGACGCUGAGGCACGAAGGCCAGGGGAGCGAAAGGGAUUAGAUACCCCAGUAGUC
rnacentral:rRNA from 1 species